AGCUCAAGUAACAGUGCAAGCCUAACUAUGUCUACUCAGAAGGACUUUGCAUUGUAUUUAAUGGGGCUUACUCCCAGGUAAGUUGAGUCAGGCUUUCAACCUUAAGCAUUAUUAAACGAGUAUGAGAGAAUACAUAUGUAUAAGGUGCAACAGUUCAGCGAUUAAUGCAGACCUGAAAUCUGAACCUUCCUAUGCCAUCCUUCCAAUUAUUUGCCUCGAAGUACAGUGGUACCUCGGGCUACAUACACUUCAGGUUAGAUACGCUUCAGGUUACAGACUCCACUAACUCAGAAAUAGUACUUUGGGUUAAGAACUUUGCUUCAGGAUGAGAACAGAAAUCAUGCGGCGGCGGCACAGCAGGCCCCAUUAGCUAAAGUGGUGCUUCAGGCUAAGAACAGUUUCAGGUUAAGAAUGGACCUCCAGAACGAAUUAAGUACUUAACCUGAGGUACCGCUGUAAAUGCAACAGACUGUUUUUAGUUCCUGCUAAUUUGGACUCUUCUUUGCAUUGGACCAAUAAGUAUUUAAGAGGAGUAACCACACGUGGUUAGCAGCAUUGAAAACAAAUGAAUGCUGUUAAACUAGAGGGCCUUUAUCCAAGCAAGCUUUUGUGAAAAGCAGUUUUUCACUGUCUGUGUCACAAGACACACAGUGCAUCAUGAAGCCUGACAUCUACCAGUCUUCACCCGCAAGUCUUGAGUUUAAGAACAAACUCAGCAGUGGUGCUGUUGUUGAAUCACAUCCUGUUCACUCACCCAGUUUUAGACUGUGUAUGAUUAUUCCUCAGGACAACAUAUGUCUGGCCAACUCAUUUAUACUAUAUUGCCAGAAACAACCGAAUCCCCUUGCUUUAAAAAUAAAUGACUGACCCGUGUCAAUAUUAACUGACUUGUGUCAACAAUAAUGGCUGGCCUGUGUCUUUGUUGUAGUAACUCAGUGUUUCCCAGAGAAUUGUUUUUAAAUAGUUACCACAGAGUCUCCCAAACUUGGGUCUCCAACAGUUUUUGGACUACAGCUCCCAUCAUCUGUAGCUACCAGGACCAGCGGUCAGGGAUGAUGGGACUUGUAGUCCAAAAACAGGUGGAGACCCAAGUUUGUGGUAACUCUGUGGUAACUAUUUAAAAACAAUUCUCUGUUUUGUAUUGGCAAUGCAAUAAUGCAAUCCUUGCUGUAAGGAUGGCAUUUGAGUUACAGUGGUACCUCGGGUUAAGAACUUAAUUCGUUCUGGAGGUCCGUUCUUAACCUGAAACUGUUCUUAACUUGAGGUACCACUUUAGCUAAUGGGGCCUCCUGCUGCCGCCAUGCCGCCGGAGCACAAUUUCUGUUCUCAUCCUGAAGCAAAGUUCUUAACCCGAGGUACUAUUUCUGGGUUAGCGGAGUCUGUAACCUGAAGCGUAUGUAACCCGAGGUACCACUGUAUUUGCUAGAAAAUCUGAGUAACCUCACACAAACAUUUUACAAGAUGGUAACAGGAGAAGAGAAAUACAGUACAUGCACUGGGAUUAGUUUUUAGUUCCUAUUCAUGAAAUAUUACAUAUAUAUAUAUAUAUAUAUAUAUAUAUAUAUCUCCAUCACACAGACUGCAACAUAACAAGGCCCAGAUGGAAAAGAAAACACUGAAAUGGGCAGAUUUGUGCUCCACAACACACAGGCUCCCUCUUCGCCAGACCAAAGGUUAAUCUAGCUCCUCAGGGUUUCCCAAACUUGGGUCUGCAGAUGUUGUUGGACUACAAUUCCCAUCAACCCUAGCCAGCAGCACCAGUGGUCAGGGAUGAUGGGAACUGUAGUCCAAAAACAGCUGGAGACCCAAGCUGGAGAAAUCCUGAUCUAGCCCAAUAUUCUGUUCCCAACAGAACACCCCUGGGGAAAUCACAGGCAACCUACGAAAAUUAUGACUCUUGCCUGUUUCUCCCUGGCACGUGGCAUUCAGAAGUACACUGCUCUUGUAUUUCAGACGUGGGGUGAGAGUCCUGUACACCUGGAGGCCUAGAAAUAAGGCACAGCCUUGUUGCUUGAAGUGUUGAAACAGCAGACAGGAUUUAGGCUUCCAUUCUAAACGCACUUACCUGGAAAUAAAACCCCACUGGUAACACCUGGCCUUGUAAAGUCCAAGUAAACAUGCUUUAGACUGGGUUGCAAGUGUCACAUGCUAAACAAGAGUCAUCCCUAUCUCUUUGCUUUUCCCAGAGUGCCCUCUUCUGCUUUCCCAGACCAGAAUAAAAAUCUGGGAUGGACUCCCAGGCAAGGCUUGGUGCAUUAUUCAAGAAUACCAUCUCUGCUGGCGGAAGGAGAGGAAGGGGUGGAAAGGAUCACGCCACUUAGUACUGGAAAGGAACAUGCCCUCCGGUCACGCUGACUUGCAACUCUGUUUGGUUUGGAAAGAGUUGCUCCCCUUCUCUCUUGCUUUCCCUUCCUCCACUGAUUUCACUUGAGAUAACGACCCACGUGAAAACGCAACCUUGCAAUCGUAUCAGCAACCUUCCACCCCCCAAACCAGGCGCCUGAGGAUGUUUGGAUAGCAGGAAAGCUCCUAUUUUCAGAGCAAACCACCAGGAAAAAAAACCAUGCCGGGUUUCAUGCAAAACCUACAGUUUUCUGGAAGUAAGGGCGAGGGAGUUGUGCAAAUGAUUUCAGAAGCAAAUGGAGGCCAGCAGCAAGCAAGUGCUUCCCCGAAUUGCACGGCAGCUCCUGAGGGCAAAGCAUUUCAAAAGACACGCGAAAGUUGGAGACUCGGCAAGAAUUAAACCUCUUCCAUUGAAAACCACGUUCAGACAAGGCCAGUGUCCCGGGUCUUCCUCUAAAGCAAGUUUGGUGGCUUGCAUUUAUUUAGAAAUCCACCCAGGGGUGGGAGAAAAAAAAUAAAAAUAAAAGCUCAA